rnacentral:rRNA from 1 species
CAAUAGCGUAUAUUAACGUUGUUGCAGUUAAAAAGCUCGUAGUUGGAUUUCUGGAGGGAGCGUCGACCCGUAUUUACGAGUGCGUGACGUCUCUGUCCAUCCUUGCGGGAAGGCACGGCAUUGAUUUGUUGUGUCGGAUCGCAUCAUUUACUGUGAAAAAAUUAGAGUGUUCAAAGCAGGCUUUCGCUUGAAUACAUUAGCAUGGAAUAAUAAGAUAGGACUUUGGUGCUAUUUUGUUGGUUGAGCCUAAAGUAAUGAUUAAUAGGGAUAGUUGGGGGCACCUGUAUUGCGUUGUCAGAGGUGAAAUUCUUGGAUUUACGCAAGACAAACAGCUGCGAAANCGNNNGCCAAGGAUGUUUUCAUNAA